GAUGAACGCUGGCGGCGUGCCUAAUACAUGCAAGUCGAGCGAACGGACGAGAAGCUUGCUUCUCUGAUGUUAGCGGCGGACGGGUGAGUAACACGUGGAUAACCUACCUAUAAGACUGGGAUAACUUCGGGAAACCGGAGCUAAUACCGGAUAAUAUUUUGAACCGCAUGGUUCAAAAGUGAAAGACGGUCUUGCUGUCACUUAUAGAUGGAUCCGCGCCGCAUUAGCUAGUUGGUAAGGUAACGGCUUACCAAGGCAACGAUGCAUAGCCGACCUGAGAGGGUGAUCGGCCACACUGGAACUGAGACGCGGUCCAGACUCCUACGGGAGGCAGCAGUAGGGAAUCUUCCGCAAUGGGCGAAAGCCUGACGGAGCAACGCCGCGUGAGUGAUGAAGGUCUUCGGAUCGUAAAACUCUGUUAUUAGGGAAGAACAUAUGUGUAAGUAACUGUGCACAUCUUGACGGUACCUAAUCAGAAAGCCACGGCUAACUACGUG
rnacentral:rRNA from 1 species